rnacentral:rRNA from 1 species
AUGGCUUAUGGUCAAAACAGUUUACUGCCAUGGGAUGGGACUGCGGCCUAUCAGCUUGUUGGUGAGGUAAUGGCCCACCAAGGCGAUUACAGGUACGGGCUCUGAGAGGAGAAGCCCGGAGAUGGGUACUGAGACACGGACCCAGGCCCUAUGGGGCGCAGCAGGCGAGAAACCUUAGCAAUGUGCGAAAGCACGACUGGGUCAGUCCGAGUGAUUCCUGAUAAAGGAGUCUUUUGCUUGUCCUAAAAGCACAGGUGAAUAAGGGGUGGGCAAGUCUGGUGUCAGCCGCCGCGGUAAUACCAGCACCUCGAGUGGUCAGGACGUUUAUUGGGCCUAAAGCAUCCGUAGCCGGCUUUGCAAGUCUUCGGUUAAAUCCACCUGCUCAACAGAUGGGCCGCUGGAGAUACUACAGAGCUAGGGAGUGGGAGAGGCAGACGGUAUUCAGUGGGUAGGGGUAAAAUCCUCUGAUCCAUUGAGGACCACCAGUGGCGAAGGCGGUCUGCCAGAACACGUUCGACGGUGAGGGAUGAAAGCUGGGGGAGCAAACCGGAUUAGAUACCCGGGUAGUCCCAGCUGUAAACGAUGCAAACUCGGUGAUGCAUUGGCUUAUGGCCAAUGCAGUGCCGCAGGGAAGCCGUUA